CAUGCAAGUCGUAACAAGGUGAGCUAGUAGCUUGCUUCUAUGACGUUAGCGGCGGACGGGUGAGUAACACGUGGGCAACCUGCCUGUAAGACUGGGAUAACUUCGGGAAACCGAAGCUAAUACCGGAUAGGAUCUUCUCCUUCAUGGGAGAUGAUUGAAAGAUGGUUUCGGCUAUCACUUACAGAUGGGCCCGCGGUGCAUUAGCUAGUUGGUGAGGUAACGGCUCACCAAGGCAACGAUGCAUAGCCGACCUGAGAGGGUGAUCGGCCACACUGGGACUGAGACACGGCCCAGACUCCUACGGGAGGCAGCAGUAGGGAAUCUUCCGCAAUGGACGAAAGUCUGACGGAGCAACGCCGCGUGAGUGAUGAAGGCUUUCGGGUCGUAAAACUCUGUUGUUAGGGAAGAACAAGUACGAGAGUAACUGCUCGUACCUUGACGGUACCUAACCAGAAAGCCACGGCUAACUACGUGCCAGCAGCCGCGGUAAUACGUAGGUGGCAAGCGUUAUCCGGAAUUAUUGGGCGUAAAGCGCGCGCAGGCGGUUUCUUAAGUCUGAUGUGAAAGCCCACGGCUCAACCGUGGAGGGUCAUUGGAAACUGGGGAACUUGAGUGCAGAAGAGAAAAGCGGAAUUCCACGUGUAGCGUGAAAUGCGUAGAGAUGUGGAGGGAACACCAGUGCGAAGCG
rnacentral:rRNA from 2 species